UGGGGAAUAUUGCACAAUGGGCGCAAGCCUGAUGCAGCAAUGCCGCGUGUGUGAAGAAGGCCUUCGGGUUGUAAAGCACUUUCAGACGUGAGGAAAAGUUAAUAGUUAAUAACUGUUAACCCUGACGUUAACGUCAGAAGAAGCACCGGCUAACUCCGUGCCAGCAGCCGCGGUAAUACGGAGGGGGCUAGCGUUGUUCGGAAUUACUGGGCGUAAAGCGUACGUAGGCGGAUCAGAAAGUAUGGGGUGAAAUCCCAGGGCUUAACCCUGGAACUGCCUCAUAAACUCCUGGUCUUGAGUUCGAGAGAGGUGAGUGGAAUUCCAAGUGUAGAGGUGAAAUUCGUAGAUAUUUGGAGGAACACCAGUGGCGAAGGCGGCUCACUGGCUCGAUACUGACGCUGAGGUACGAAAGUGUGGGGAGCAAACA
rnacentral:rRNA from 1 species